GUGUGUGUGCGUGAGACCAGAGACAAAAAGGCCUGUGGUGUUGACAACAUCCUAAAUGAAAUGAUCAAAUUCACAGAUCCCAAAUUCCAAGUGGUCAUAUUAAAGCUCUUUAACAUUGUCCUUAGCGCUGGGAUCUUCCACAAUAUU